rnacentral:snRNA from 1 species
AGCUUUGCGCAGUGGCAGUAUCGUAGCCAAUGAGGUUAAUCCGAGGCGCGAUUAUUGCUAGUUGAAAACUUUUCCCAAUACCCCGCCAUGACGACUUGAAAUAUAGUCGGCAUUGGCAAUUUUUGACAGUCUCAUGUGAGA